rnacentral:rRNA from 1 species
UACGGAGGGAGCUAGCGUUGUUCGGAAUUACUGGGCGUAAAGCGCACGUAGGCGGCUUUGUAAGUUAGAGGUGAAAGCCCGGAGCUCAACUCCGGAAUUGCCUUUAAGACUGCAUCGCUUGAAUCCAGGAGAGGUGAGUGGAAUUCCGAGUGUAGAGGUGAAAUUCGUAGAUAUUCGGAAGAACACCAGUGGCGAAGGCGGCUCACUGGACUGGUAUUGACGCUAAGGUGCGAAAGCGUGGGGAGCAAACAGG